CCUACGGGGUGCACCAGUGGGGAAUAUUGGACAAUGGGGGCAACCCUGAUCCAGCCAUGCCGCGUGAGUGAUGACGGCCUUAGGGUUGUAAAGCUCUUUUCUCCGGGACGAUAAUGACGGUACCGGAGGAAUAAGCCCCGGCUAACUUCGUGCCAGCAGCCGCGGUAAUACGAAGGGGGCUAGCGUUGCUCGGAGUCACUGGGCGUAAAGGGCGCGUAGGCGGCUGAUUUAGUCGAGGGUGAAAGCCCGUGGCUCAACCACGGAAUGGCCUUCGAUACUGAUUGGCUUGAGACCGGAAGAGGACAGCGGAACUGCGAGUGUAGAGGUGAAACUCGUAGAUAUUCGCAAGAACACCAGUGGCGAAGGCGGCUGUCUGGUCCGGUUCUGACGCUGAGGCGCGAAGGCGUGGGGAGCAAACAGGAUUAGAUACCCGCGUAGUC
rnacentral:rRNA from 1 species